UACAGAGGGUGCAAGCGUUGUUCGGAAUUAUUGGGUUUAAAGGGUGCGUAGGCGGCUUUGUAAGUCAGCGGUGAAAUACUCUAGCUUAACUAGAGGGGUGCCAUUGAUACUGCGGAGCUUGAGUACAGAUGAGGUAGGCGGAAUUGACGGUGUAGCGGUGAAAUGCAUAGAUAUCGUCAAGAACACCGAUAGCGAAGGCAGCUUACUGGGCUGUAACUGACGCUGAUGCACGAAAGUGUGGGGAUCAAACAGG
rnacentral:rRNA from 1 species